rnacentral:tRNA from 1 species
GGUCCCAUGGUGUAAUGGUAAGCACUUUGGACUUUGAAUCCAACGAUCCGAGUUCAAAUCUCGGUGGGACCU